rnacentral:rRNA from 1 species
CACGUAGGGCGCAAGCGUUGUCCGGAAUUAUUGGGCGUAAAGAGCUCGUAGGCGGUCUGUUGCGUCCGCUGUGAAAACCCGGGGCUUAACCCUGGGCUGGCAGUGGAUACGGACAGACUAGAGGUAGGUAGGGGAGAAUGGAAUUCCCGGUGUAGCGGUGAAAUGCGCAGAUAUCGGGAGGAACACCGGUGGCGAAGGCGGUUCUCUGGGCCUUACCUGACGCUCAGGCACGAAAGCUAGGGGAGCGAACAGG